AAGUCGUAACAAGGUUUCCGUAGGUGAACCUGCGGAAGGAUCAUUAUCGUGGGGCUUCGGCCCUAUCGAGAUAGAACCCUUGCCUUUAUAGUACCUUCUGUUGCCUCGGCGUACGCUUCACCGCUGCGCCAACAGGGCCAACCAAAAACCCUUUUUUUAUCAUGAAUUUGAGCUCGAAAUCGAAAAACCAAAAAGUCAAAAAAGUUC
rnacentral:misc_RNA from 1 species